GGAGGGAUGCCCGAGAUGGUCAAUGGGAGCAGACUGUAAAUCUGCCGGCUUAUGCCUUCGAAGGUUCAAAUCCUUCUCCCUCCA
rnacentral:tRNA from 1 species